rnacentral:rRNA from 1 species
AUGUGUUUGUUCAAAGCCUUCCAUUCUAACAACCUUGACAUAGCCCGCCUGAACUAUGGGGUGAUUACACUUAUUCCAAAGAUGAAAGGGGCAAAGAAAAUACAGCAAUACCGCCCCAUAUGUCUCCUAAGAUGCCCUUAUAAGCUUAUCACCAAGGUUUUGGAUAAUCGGGUGGCGCUUUUUGCUGACAAGCUGAUUAGCAGACAUCAAAACGCGUUCAUUAAACACAGGAACAUCAUGGAUGGUAUCCUUACGUUGCAUGAAGUUCUACAUCACGCCCACCAGAAAAAGAAAGUCGGAGUGGUGCUGAAAUUAGACUUUGAAAAAGCCUAUGACAAGAUCGACUGGGAAUUCCUAUUGGAAUGUCAUCGAGGUCGAGGCUUUGGGACAACUUGGUGUGGUUGGAUUAAAAAAAUUCUUUACAACGACACUGUCAGUGUCAAAAUGAAUAAUGAAAAAGGCCCCUAUUUCCAAAGCCACAAGGGGGUGCGUCAAGGCGACCCCCACUCCCCCUUUCUAUUUAACCUGGCAGUUGAGACACUGUCAAAAAUGAUCCGCAACGCACAGAAAGAAAAACUUCUUACUGGAUUGGCUUCGGAUCUUAUCAAAGAUGGGGUAGCCAUCCUUCAAUAUGCAGAUGACACUGUCAUUUGCUUGGAGCACGAUAAAAAAGCUGCUGUUAACCUGAAGUUGUUACUUUAUAUCUUUGAACUCAUGUCUGGGCUUAAAAUCCAUUUCCUAAAGAGCGAAAUCCUUUGUGUUGGAGGGGAUGAUGAUAUUUUAACCUUCUAUGCAGAACUGUUUAAUUGUUAG